CCUACGGGUGGCAGCAGUCGAGAAUCAUUCACAAUGGGGGAAACCCUGAUGGUGCGACGCCGCGUGGGGGAAUGAAGGUCUUCGGAUUGUAAACCCCUGUCAUGUGGGAGCAAAUUAAAAAGAUAGUACCACAAGAGGAAGAGACGGCUAACUCUGUGCCAGCAGCCGCGGUAAUACAGAGGUCUCAAGCGUUGUUCGGAAUCACUGGGCGUAAAGCGUGCGUAGGCUGUUUCGUAAGUCGUGUGUGAAAGGCGCGGGCUCAACCCGCGGACGGCAGAUGAUACUGCGAGACUAGAGUAAGGGAGGGGGAACCGGAAUUCUCGGUGUAGCAGUGAAAUGCGUAGAUAUCGAGAGGAACACUCGUGGCGAAGGCGGGUUCCUGGACAUUAACUGACGCUGAGGCACGAAGGCCAGGGGAGCGAAAGGGAUUAGAUACCCCGGUAGUC
rnacentral:rRNA from 1 species